GAUGAACGCUGGCGGCGUGCCUAAUACAUGCAAGUCGAGCGAACGGACGAGAAGCUUGCUUCUCUGAUGUUAGCGGCGGACGGGUGAGUAACACGUGGAUAACCUACCUAUAAGACUGGGAUAACUUCGGGAAACCGGAGCUAAUACCGGAUGAUAUUUUGAACCGCAUGGUUCAAAAGUGAAAGACGGUCUUGCUGUCACUUAUAGAUGGAUCCGCGCUGCAUUAGCUAGUUGGUAAGGUAACGGCUUACCAAGGCAACGAUGCAUAGCCGACCUGAGAGGGUGAUCGGCCACACUGGAACUGAGACACGGUCCAGACUCCUACGGGAGGCAGCAGUAGGGAAUCUUCCGCAAUGGGCGAAGGCCUGACGGAGCAACGCCGCGUGAGUGAUGAAGGUCUUCGGAUCGUAAAACUCUGUUAUUAGGGAAGAACAUAUGUGUAAGUAACUGUGCACAUCUUGACGGUACCUAACCAGAAAGCCACGGCUAACUACGUG
rnacentral:rRNA from 1 species